UGACUGGAAGCGCCUUGAUAUGACUGU
rnacentral:piRNA from 1 species